GGAUAACUUACCCUUAGGACUGGGAUAACUCUGGGAAACUGGGGAUAAUACUGGAUAUUAGGCUAUGCCUGGAAUGGUUUGCCUUUGAAAUGUUUUUUCGCCUAAGGAUAGGUCUGCGGCUGAUUAGGUCGUUGGUGGGGUAAUGGCCCACCAAGCCGAUGAUCGGUACGGGCUGUGAGAGCAAGGGCCCGGAGAUGGAACCUGAGACAAGGUUCCAGACCCUACGGGGUGCAGCAGGCGCGAAACCUCCGCAAUGUACGAAAGUGCGACGGGGGGAUCCCAAGUGUUAUGCUUUUUUGUAUGACUUUUCAUUAGUGUAAAAAGCUUUUAGAAUAAGAGCUGGGCAAGACCGGUGCCAGCCGCCGCGGUAACACCGGCAGCUCGAGUGGUAGCUGUUUUUAUUGGGCCUAAAGCGUUCGUAGCCGGUUUGAUAAGUCUUUGGUGAAAGCUUGUAGCUUAACUAUAAGAAUUGCUGGAGAUACUAUUAGACUUGAAGUCGGGAGAGGUUAGAGGUACUACCGGGGUAGGGGUGAAAUCCUAUAAUCCUGGGAGGACCACCUGUGGCGAAGGCGUCUAACUGGAACGAUCUUGACGGUGAGUAACGAAAGCCAGGGGCGCGAACCGGAUUAGAUACCCGGGUAGUCCUGGCCGUAAACGAUGUGGACUUGGUGUUGGAAUGGCUUUGAGUUGU
rnacentral:rRNA from 1 species